GACGAACGCUGGCGGCGUGCUUAACACAUGCCAGUCGAACGGAAAGGCCCUGCUUUUGUGGGGUGCUCGAGUGGCGAACGGGUGAGUAACACGUGAGUAACCUGCCCUUGACUUUGGGAUAACUUCAGGAAACUGGGGCUAAUACCGGAUAGGAGCUCCUGCUGCAUGGUGGGGGUUGGAAAGUUUCGGCGGUUGGGGAUGGACUCGCGGCUUAUCAGCUUGUUGGUGGGGUAGUGGCUUACCAAGGCUUUGACGGGUAGCCGGCCUGAGAGGGUGACCGGCCACAUUGGGACUGAGAUACGGCCCAGACUCCUACGGGAGGCAGCAGUGGGGAAUAUUGCACAAUGGGCGGAAGCCUGAUGCAGCAACGCCGCGUGCGGGAUGAAGGCCUUCGGGUUGUAAACCGCUUUCGCCUGUGACGAAGCGUGAGUGACGGUAAUGGGUAAAGAAGCACCGGCUAACUACGU
rnacentral:rRNA from 1 species